GCCAGGUAUGGUGGUGCACACCUGUAAUCCCAGUGACCUGGGAGGCUGAGGCAGGAGAAUCACAAGUUUGAGGCCAGCCUCAGCAACUUAGCAAGACCUUGUCUUAA
rnacentral:sRNA from 1 species